rnacentral:rRNA from 1 species
AUUGAACGCUGGCGGCAGGCCUAACACAUGCAAGUCGAGCGGAUGAGGAGUGCUUGCACUCCGAUUCAGCGGCGGACGGGUGAGUAAUGCCUAGGAAUCUGCCCGAUAGUGGGGGACAACGUUUCGAAAGGAACGCUAAUACCGCAUACGUCCUACGGGAGAAAGUGGGGGAUCUUCGGACCUCACGCUAUCGGCUGACCCUAGGUCGGAUUAGCUAGUUGGUGAGGUAAUGGCUCACCAGUGCUACGAUCCGUAACUGGUCUGAGAGGAUGAUCAGUCACACUGGAACUGAGACACGGUCCAGACUCCUACGGGAGGCAGCAGUGGGGAAUAUUGGACAAUGGGCGAAAGCCUGAUCCAGCCAUGCCGCGUGUGUGAAGAAGGUCUUCGGAUUGUAAAGCACUUUAAGUUGGGAGGAAGGGCUGUAGGCUAAUAUCCUGCAGUUUUGACGUUACCAACAGAAUAAGCACCGGCUAACUUCGUGCCAGCCGCCGCCGUAA